GACGAACGCUGGCGGCGUGCUUGACACAUGCAAGUCGAACGGUAAGGCCCUUCGGGGUACACGAGUGGCGAACGGGUGAGUAACACGUGGGUGAUCUGCCCUGCACUUCGGGAUAAGCCUGGGAAACUGGGUCUAAUACCGGAUAGGACUCCUGGCUUCAUGGUUGGGGGUGGAAAGCUUUUGCGGUGUGGGAUGGGACCGCGGCCUAUCAGCUUGUUGGUGGGGUAAUGGCCUACCAAGGCGACGACGGGUAGCCGGCCUGAGAGGGUGACCGGUCACACUGGGACUGAGAUACGGCCCAGACUCCUACGGGAGGCAGCAGUGGGGAAUAUUGCACAAUGGGCGCAAGCCUGAUGCAGCGACGCCGCGUGAGGGAUGACGGCCUUCGGGUUGUAAACCUCUUUCAGCUAUGACGAAGCGCAAGUGACGGUAGUAGCAGAAGAAGGACCGGCCAACUACGUGCCAGCAGCAGCCGCGGUAA
rnacentral:rRNA from 1 species